rnacentral:antisense_RNA from 1 species
UAACAGAUGCUUCACUAUUAAAAUAUUUUCCCCCCAAGUCUCAAAUAUUGAAGAAUCUCUAACCAGGCUCGAAACGCCGGUCUCAGUGACUAUUGAGUUACCCACCAAGUUACCCCGGGACACCAGUCCCAACGAAGACCUUGGGCGAUUUCAAAGUGCGGGCACCUCGAUUCCCCGAAUCUGUAGUGUGGCUGGUAUCGGUGUUUCCCUGGUUUAACUAGCCUGCUUGAAGGCGCAGAUCAUUCAUGGGGAAGUAAAACCGAAACCAGUCCUCUCCACCCCCUGCGGGUCUUCACUUUCCCAGUCUACAUCUGCCUGUGACUCCAGAAAGACAAACUGCAGAUUGGCCAAGGUACAUCUCAGAUCAGAUCCCUCUGGGAAAAGCGCGGGAAUGCUUGGCUCUAGUAGUUAGGAGCUCUGGUGAGAGCGCCCCUAGUGCCAUUUUCCCAUCCCUGCCCUUGACGGUCCCCUUUGGUCUAAAUUCACGGUUCUAGACAGUCAAAGUCUACCUGCUGGAUGUCCACUUUCAAGCCAUAGGUUUUCAAUACUAAAAGCGAUUAGGACCUUGGCUCAAAAUGUGGUCAACGCAGUGUUCAAAUUAGGAGGGCAGCUGGGAGAUGGCAGCAGGGGAUGAAAGUAUGACUCCUACUUUGUCCCCAACUGUGAGUCUGGCACCCCUUGACUUGCCAGUAUGCUGGCAAACAACCCAUCUCUUUUGGAGAAUCCACACUUCGUUUCUUCUAGGUCCAGCCUAAAUGUUACCUCCUCCAGGGAGCCUUUCCAGAUACUGCUUCUCC